GAUGAACGCUGGCGGCGUGCUUAACACAUGCAAGUCUAACGGAAAGGCUCCUGCUUGCAGGGGUACUCGAGUGGCGAACGGGUGAGUAACACGUGGGUGAUCUGCCCUGCACUUCGGGAUAAGCCUGGGAAACUGGGUCUAAUACCGGAUAGGACGAUGGUUUGGAUGCCAUUGUGGAAAGUUUUUCGGUGUGGGAUGAGCUCGCGGCCUAUCAGCUUGUUGGUGGGGUAAUGGCCUACCAAGGCGUCGACGGGUAGCCGGCCUGAGAGGGUGUACGGCCACAUUGGGACUGAGAUACGGCCCAGACUCCUACGGGAGGCAGCAGUGGGGAAUAUUGCACAAUGGGCGCAAGCCUGAUGCAGCGACGCCGCGUGGGGGAUGACGGCCUUCGGGUUGUAAACUCCUUUCGCUAGGGACGAAGCGCAAGUGACGGUACCUGGAGAAGAAGCACCGGCUAACUACGUG
rnacentral:rRNA from 1 species